rnacentral:rRNA from 1 species
UACAGAGGGUGCGAGCGUUAAUCGGAAUUACUGGGCGUAAAGCGCACGUAGGCGGCUUGGUGUGUCGGGUGUGAAAUCCCCGGGCUCAACCUGGGAACUGCAUCCGAAACUGCCUUGCUCGAGUAUGGGAGAGGGAAGUGGAAUUUCCGGUGUAGCGGUGAAAUGCGUAGAUAUCGGAAGGAACAUCAGUGGCGAAGGCGACUUCCUGGACCAAUACUGACGCUCAGGUGCGAAAGCGUGGGGAGCAAACAGGG